rnacentral:rRNA from 1 species
UGAGUACGAGCUGCUACGGCAGCGAAGUGGGUGAUGUCAUGCUUCCAAGAAAAGCCCUAUACCCGUUAAGGCAUGAUGGCCUGUACCCGAAACCGACACAGGUGGGGUGGUAGAGAAUACCGAGGGGCGCGAGGUAACUCUCUCUAGGGAACUCGGCAAAAUGGCCCCGUAACUUCGGGAGAAGGGGUGCCACCGCAAGGUGGUCGCAGUGAAGAGGCCCAGGCGACUGUUUACCAAAAACACAGGUCUCCGCUAAGUCGCAAGACGAUGUAUGGGGGCUGACGCCUGCCCAGUGCCGGGAGGUUAAGGAAGCUGGUCAGCGUAAGCGAAGCUAGCGACUGAAGCCCCGGUGAACGGCGGCCGUAACUAUAACGGUCCUAAGGUAGCGAAAUUCCUUGUCGGGUAAGUUCCGACCCGCACGAAAGGCGUAACGAUCUGGGCGCUGUCUCGGAGAGAGGCUCGGCGAAAUAGAAUUGUCUGUGAAGAUGCGGACUACGUGCACCCGGACAGAAAGACCCUAUGAAGCUUUACUGUAGCUUGGUAUUGUGCUCGGGCUCGGAAUGCGCAGGAUAGGUGGCAGGCUAUGAACCAUUGCUUGUGGGUGAUGGUGAGCCACUGGUGAGAUACCACUCUUUCCGAGCUAGAGUUCUAACAGCCACCCGUUAUCCGGGGGCUGGACAGUAUCAGGUGGGCAGUUUGACUGGGGCGGUCGCCUCCUAAAAGGUAACGGAGGCGCGCAAAGGUUUGCUCAGGCUGGUUGGAAAUCAGCCGACGAGUGUAAAAGCAGAAGCAAGCUUGACUGUGAGACCUACAAGUCGAACAGGGAGGAAACUCGGCUUUAGUGAUCCGACGGUUCUGCGUGGAAGGGCCGUCGCUCAACGGAUAAAAGUUACUCUAGGAUAACAGGCUGAUCUCCCCCAAGAGUUCACAUCGACGGGGAGGUUUGGCACCUCGAUGUCGGCUCAUCGCAACCUGGGGCUGAAGUCGGUCCCAAGGGUUGGGCUGUUCGCCCAUUAAAGCGGUACGCGAGCUGGGUUCAGAACGUCGUGAGACAGUUCGGUCCAUAUCCGGUGCAUGCGCAGGAAUAUUGAGAGGAUUUCUCCCUAGUACGAGAGGACCGGGAGGAACGCACCUCUGGUGUACCAGUUAUCGUGCCAACGGUAAACGCUGGGUAGCCAUGUGCGGAGAGGAUAACCGCUGAAAGCAUCUAAGUGGGAAGCCCACCUCAAGAUGAGUAUUCCCAUGGGGUAACCCAGUAAGGUCACGGGAAGAACACCCGUUGAUAGGCUCUACGUGGAAGCGCAGUAAUGUGUGAAGCGGAGGAGUACUAAUAGACCGAGGGCUUGAA